rnacentral:rRNA from 1 species
GAUGAACGCUAGCGAUAGGCUUAACACAUGCAAGUCGAGGGGCAGCAUGGUCUUAGCUUGCUAAGACUGAUGGCGACCGGCGCACGGGUGCGUAACGCGUAUGCAACUUGCCUCACAGAGGGGGAUAACCCGUCGAAAGACGGACUAAUACCGCGUACACUUGGGAUAGGGCAUCCUGACCCAAGGAAAUGAAAUUCGCUGUGAGAUAGGCAUGCGUCCCAUUAGCUAGUUGGUGAGGUAACGGCUCACCAAGGCGACGAUGGGUAGGGGAACUGAGAGGUUGAACCCCCACACUGGUACUGAGACACGGACCAGACUCCUACGGGAGGCAGCAGUGAGGAAUAUUGAUCAAUGGGCGAGAGCCUGAACCAGCCAAGUCGCGUGAAGGAUGACUGUCUUAUGGAUUGUAAACUUCUUUUAUACGGGAAUAACAAGAGCCACGUGUGGCUCCCUGCAUGUACCGUAUGAAUAAGCAGCGGCUAACUCCGUG